CCCCUCUCAGGAUCACACCUGGAGAGUUUUCAGUACUCUACCACUUUCAGCUACAGGAGGUAGAGUCAAGCAGAGGCACACAUAUUCCAUUCCUAGCUUAGACAGUGGCUAGUGAGUGGAAGGAAAUCUGCUACAAGU